GUCACGAUUAGGAUAGAAAAAUGAAUAUUUUCUUGGAUUAGUACCUGAGAUGUGUUUAUUUACAGAUUAUUGACUGAAGAUCCUAACCAAAGACUUGGAGCUAGAGGUGCAUCAGAGGUGAAAGAACAUGUUUUCUUUAAGGAUAUAAAUUGGGACACACUUGCUAGAUAGAAGGAUAACAAUGAAGAUUAAGCUGACUAUUAUUGUGGUUUAUUGGCUAAGAUAGAGUGCUAUUUAGAAUCUUUACAUGUAUGGUUGACUAAUGAUUUUUAUUAGAAGAUACUUUUAUUGGCUAAGUGAUAUUAUGGUUUUGAUAUGGCUAUGCUUAUUUUAGUUUGAGAUGUAUAAAUUUUUACAGUUAACUUCAUUCUUGUACUUUUGG